AGUGGCGGACGGGUGAGUAACGCGUGAGAAUCUGCCUUGGGGUCGGGGACAACCACUGGAAACGGUGGCUAAUACCGGAUAAGCCGAUUGGUGAAAGAUUUAUUGCCCGAAGAGGAGCUCGCGUCUGAUUAGCUAGUUGGUGAGGUAAGAGCUCACCAAGGCAGCGAUCAGUAGCUGGUCUGAGAGGACGAUCAGCCACACUGGGACUGAGACACGGCCCAGACUCCUACGGGAGGCAGCAGUGGGGAAUUUUCCGCAAUGGGCGAAAGCCUGACGGAGCAAGACCGCGUGAGGGAGGAAGGCUCUUGGGUUGUAAACCUCUUUUCUCAGGGAAGAAGCUCUGACGGUACCUGAGGAAUCAGCCUCGGCUAACUCCGUGCCAGCAGCCGCGGUAAUACGGAGGAGGCAAGCGUUAUCCGGAAUUAUUGGGCGUAAAGCGUCCGCAGGUGGCGAUUCAAGUCUGCUGUCAAAGCACGGGGCUUAACUCCGUAAAGGCAGUGGAAACUGAAUAGCUAGAGUGCCGUAGGGGUAGAGGGAAUUCCCGGUGUAGCGGUGAAAUGCGUAGAGAUCGGGAAGAACAUCGGUGGCGAAAGCGCUCUACUGGACGGCAACUGACACUCAGGGGCGAAAGCUAGGGGAGCGAAUGGGAUUAGAUACCCC
rnacentral:rRNA from 1 species